rnacentral:rRNA from 1 species
CACUGUCACUCCUACGGGGAGGCAGCAGUGGGGGAAUAUUGCACAAUGGGCGCAAGCCUGAUGCAGCCAUGCCGCGUGUGUGAAGAAGGCCUUCGGGUUGUAAAGCACUUUCAGUCGUGAGGAAGGUGGUAGUGUUAAUAGCACUAUCAUUUGACGUUAGCGACAGAAGAAAGCACCGGCUAACUCCGUGCCAGCAGCCGCGGUAAUACGGAGGGUGCGAGCGUUAAUCGGAAUUACUGGGCGUAAAGCGCAUGCAGGUGGUUUGUUAAGUCAGAUGUGAAAGACCCGGGGCUCAACCUCGGAAUAGCAUUUGAAACUGGCAGACUAGAGUACUGUAGAGGGGGGUAGGAAUUUCAGGUGUAGCGGUGAAAUGCGUAGAGAUCUGAAGGAAUACCGGUGGCGAAGGCGGCCCCCUCGGACAGAUACUGACACUCAGAUGCGAAAGCGUGGGGAGCAAACAGGAUUAGAUACCCUGGUAG